GACGAACGCUGGCGGCGUGCCUAAUACAUGCAAGUAGAACGCUGAAGAGAGGAGCUUGCUCUUCUUGGAUGAGUUGCGAACGGGUGAGUAACGCGUAGGUAACCUGCCUUGUAGCGGGGGAUAACUAUUGGAAACGAUAGCUAAUACCGCAUAACAAUGGAUGACACAUGUCAUUUAUUUGAAAGGGGCAAUUGCUCCACUACAAGAUGGACCUGCGUUGUAUUAGCUAGUAGGUGAGGUAAUGGCUCACCUAGGCGACGAUACAUAGCCGACCUGGGAGGGUGAUCGGCCACACUGGGACUGAGACACGGCCCAGACUCCUACGGGAGGCAGCAGUAGGGAAUCUUCGGCAAUGGGGGCAACCCUGACCGAGCAACGCCGCGUGAGUGAAGAAGGUUUUCGGAUCGUAAAGCUCUGUUGUAAGUCAAGAACGGGUGUGAGAGUGGAAAGUUCACACUGUGACGGUAGCUUUCCAGAAAGGGACGGCUAACUACGUG
rnacentral:rRNA from 1 species